AGGGCUGUAGCUCAGUGGUAGAGCGCCUGCUUUGCAUUCAGAAGCUGCCAGGUUCAAUCCCCCAGCGGUGUUG